rnacentral:piRNA from 1 species
UGGCAAGACAAGACAGCAGACGCAGCCAGU